ensembl:lncRNA
GUAUCACGUGUCCAGCUCUGGUCCAAUCAACUAAGACCAGAGGGUGGAGCCACUUGCGGCUGUUCCCGAGCAGGACUUUGCGCAUGCUCUCUGAAGUAAAGGUGCUGACCUUUGGGCAGGGUUACUCCCGGGUCGAGUGAGGCAGUGCAAGCUGUAGGUGGCACUCUGGCUGGCCGUGUCCUCUCAGCGUGGCACACUCGGUAGCUCCACCACGUCAGGAGCUGGACUAUGGUUUUACCCCAGUGCUGGGGCGUGCACACUGCCUGCAGCCAAGGAGUGUCUUGGCGGGCUUGCCCUGCUGUUGCCGACCCUGAAAGGCUGGCCUCUGCUGGCCAGGACAGGCACUACGCCUACCCGGUGGCCACCACCCCAGGACAGCAACGGAGGGAUGUCUUUCUGUUAGCCUAGAAGCCUCUGGUAAGUGGCGGUAUUGCAGUUACACAGCCCAGGCUCUCGUGCUGGGUUUGGGUGUGGCUCUUACACUAACUCGAGCGAGUUCCUUUCCUCCUUGGGGCUUUUCCCGUAUCUGCCAACUGGGUCUCAUCACCACUGAACAGGUGCGGAAGGGGCCGUGUGUUGUGCAGGUUUGGGGCUCAGCUUUUGAGCUGGUUUUGAAUCCAGCUUUUUGUUCCUUGCUGUAUGACCUUGGGCAAGUUACUCAAUCUCUUGAAGCCCCAAUCUCCCCAUCUAUAAAAUGGGAAGGAAGAAGAAUUUCUCUUCUGUUCUCUAAAAGGUGAUGUGAGGAUUCAAUAAGAGAAUGCAUGGAAAAAACCACGGAGCAUGACGUCUGACAUCACAUCAUUGUGAGGUGGCCUUGCUAUGUGGUAUGCUGGGGGCACACUCAUUCAUCUCCUGUCCUUCACCUCUUCCCCAGCCCAUCUCUCAGAGCACCCUGGCUAAUGGGCCAAGGAGUGAUCGGUGUCUGGAGCACAGCGGGGACUCAACCGUGUACAAAGAGUGGGAAUGUGCUGCAGACCUCCUGCCUGGGUGGUCUCAACCUCAUCCAGCUUUUAUCGAGUAUUCCCCACCUAGCAGUGCCGGGUCCGUAUCCCCAGAGCAAGACCGUGCUGUCCUGGAGUAGAUGCAAGAAGGAAGCAUCUCGUACACCGAGUGCGGCAGGUGCAAGUGUUUGAAGCUGUCGGUUGCUCUUCCUGACACCUGCAGAGUCCAUCGCUGCAAUUCAGAGCCAGGUGCUUGAAAAACCGGGCCGGGCCUUGCUGAGGACGGGCCGCGUGUUUACGCCCAGAGCACCCACUCUGCGCCAAGCCCUGUGUCACGUGAGUAACCUCCCUCCGAUUCUUUUUUUUUUUCCCCAGUUUAUUUUUGAGAGAGAGAGAAUGAGUCGGGGAGGGGCAGAGAGGGAGGGAGACGCAGAUCUGAGGCAGGCUCCAGACUCCGAGCUGUCAGCACACAGCCUGACUCAGAGCUCGAGCCCAUGAGCCGUGAGAUCAUGACCUGAGCCCAAGUCGGACCUAAGCGGCUGACCCACCCAGGCGCCCCCCUCCCUCCAAUUCUUGUGGUCCUCAUUCAACUGAUGGAAAAAUUAGGUUGAGUCCCAGAGCCCAGUGCACUUCCUAACUUGCUGUGUAACAUCGGGCAAGUCACUUGCUCUCUCUGAACCUCCAUCUCCUGAUUUCCACCUCACAUCUGCUGCAGUCUCCCUCCCCGCCAUGCCUUUCAAAUUCUCUGCUGGCUGCUAAGUUGCAUCUCCCGGUAAAUCAUUGUAAUUAUUAUUGUGAAGCUUUGUUGUUAAGACAUGAGUGAGAGAGAGAGGCAUUCCUAGUCACCAAAGAAGACAUUAGUAAAAGUAACCCCCAAAGCGGGAAUAUGGAAGGGAGGGGGGAGAAAAGGGCAGAAAAUGCAAAGUUAACCCCUCCGAAACCACCUUGGAGGGAUUGGCUGGAUGAAAAAAGGGGGGAAAGCCUAAUACCCACUUAGUAACCACCACUAAAGAUCAAUACUAGACCAAAAUAGAAUCCCACGUAGGAAAUGAUCUUGCUUCACAGCCCUGGGGAAAAAAAAAAAAAUUUAACAUAGAGAAGCCAUUUAAAGCAGAAAAAAUAUUUGUAUGUAAAAGGAAAUAUUUUAGGUAGGAGUUGAAUACCAAAUGAUUUUGGGUCUCUGUGGGGAGUAAUGAGGCAUAGCAAACACACAAUUCUAUAUGCAUGUAAUAUUAUCAUCGCACGCCUCGGAAAGCUUUUAAAUCACAGAAAUGCAGUUAGGGACCAUUGUACAAAAUAAACAUCCCACUUGGUGUCUUGCCUGCCCUAAG